rnacentral:rRNA from 1 species
AUUGAACGCUGGCGGCAUGCCUUACACAUGCAAGUCGAACGGUAACAGGUUAAGCUGACGAGUGGCGAACGGGUGAGUAAUAUAUCGGAACGUGCGCAGUCGUGGGGGAUAACUGCGCGAAAGAGCAGCUAAUACCGCAUACGACCUGAGGGUGCAAGCGGGGGAUCGCAAGACCUUGCGCGAUUGGAACGGCCGAAAUCACAUUAGGUAGUUGGUGGGGUAAAGGCCCCCCAAGCCAACGAACUGUAGCUGGUCUGAAAGGACGACCAGCCACACUGGGACUGAGACACGGCCCAGACUCCUACGGGAGGCAGCAGUGGGGAAUUUUGGACAAUGGGCGCAAGCCUGAUCCAGCCAUGCCGCGUGCGGGAAGAAGGCCUUCGGGUUGUAAACCGCUUUUGUCAGGGAAGAAAAGGCUUCUGCUAAUACCGGAGGCUCAUGACGGUACCUGAAGAAUAAGCACCGGCUAACUACGUGCCAGCCGCCGCUGUAACAC